rnacentral:rRNA from 1 species
UACGUAGGGGGCAAGCGUUGUCCGGAUUUAUUGGGCGUAAAGAGCGUGUAGGCGGCUAUACAGGUCCGCUGUGAAAACUCGAGGCUCAACCUCGAGACGUCGGUGGAAACCGUAUGGCUAGAGUCCGGAAGAGGAGUGUGGAAUUCCUGGUGUAGCGGUGAAAUGCGCAGAUAUCAGGAAGAACACCUAUGGCGAAGGCAGCACUCUGGGACGGUACUGACGCUGAGACGCGAAAGCGUGGGGAGCGAACAGG